rnacentral:rRNA from 1 species
GAGAGGGUGAUNGGCCACACUGGGAUUGAGACACGGCCCAGAUUCUUACGGGAGGCAGCAGUAGGGAAUCUUCCGCAAUGGACGAAAGUCUGACGGAGNAACGCCGGCUGAGUGAUGAAGGUNUUNGGAUNGUAAAGCUCUGUUGUUAGGGAAGAACAAGUGCNAGAGUAACUGCNUGCACCUNGACGGUACCUAACCAGAAAGCCANGGCNAANUACGUGCCNGCAGCCGCGGUAAUANGUAGGUCGCAAGCGUUGUCGGGAAUUAUUGGGCGUAAAGGGCUCGCGGGCGGUUUCUUAAGUCUGAUGUGAAAGCCCCCGGCUCAACCGGGGAGGGUCAUUGGAAACUGGGAAACAUGAGUGCAGAAGAGGAGAGUGGANUUCCACGUGUAGCGGUGAANUGCGUAGAGAUGUGGAGGAACACCAGUGGCGAAGGCGACUCUNUGGUCUGUAACUGACGNUGAGGAGCGAAAGCGUGGGGAGCGAACAGGAUUAGAUACCNUGGUNGUCCACGCCGUAAANGAUGAGUGNUAAGUGUUAGGGGGUUUCCGCCCNUUAGUGNUGCAGCUAACGCAUUAAGCACUCCGCCUGGGGAGUACGGUCGCAAGANUGAAACUCAAAGGAAUUGACGGGGGCCCGCACNAGCGGUGGAGCAUGUGGUUUAAUUCGAAGCAACGCGAAGAACCUUACCAGGUCNUGACAUCCUCUGACAACCCUAGAGAUAGGGCUUUCCCUUCGGGGACAGAGUGACAGG